rnacentral:rRNA from 1 species
UACAGAGGUCUCAAGCGUUGUUCGGAUUCAUUGGGCGUAAAGCGCGCGUAGGCGGCCCGGUAAGUCCGUUGUGAAAGUCAAAGGCUCAACCUUUGAACGCCGAUGGAUACUGCCGGGCUAGAGUCCGGAAGAGGCGAGUGGAAUUCCUGGUGUAGCGGUGGAAUGCGCAGAUAUCAGGAGGAACACCAAUAGCGAAGGCAGCUCGCUGGGACGGUACUGACGCUGAGGCGCGAAAGCGUGGGGAGCGAACAGG